rnacentral:lncRNA from 1 species
UUUGUUUGUUUUUCUUUAAGGACUUGUAACUCUUUAGCAGUGUUCUCUUUUAUUUCUUUAAGUAAGUUAUUAAAUUCCUUCUUCAUGUCCUCCCUCUACCAUCAUCAUGAGAUGUGCUUUUAAAUCCGGGUCUAGCUUUUCCGGUGUGUUGGGGUGCCCAGGACUGGGUGAGAUGGGAGUGCUGCAUUCUGAUGAUGGUUCUACUGAAUUAGUAAGUUGCAGUCUCUCCAAAUUCAGAAAGAAGCAAGAAUGAAAUGCUAGCAUAUAUCUGAAAAAAAGAAUACUUCAAAAUAGAUGGCAGUACUAAUGAAGAGCUCAACUAUACCAUAGAAUCCAGCAAGCUAUGAUCUAUCCCACUGAAGCUGUACUUUGACUGCAGUGACAUUCUGCUUAAACUCAGAAAUAUUGAGUCUCCCUCCCAGUACUAUCAUAAUGAACAAAGAAUUAAAGAAAUCCAGUAUCUCCAGUAAGGACCUACAAUUUUAUAUUCACACAAUGGUG